UACGUAGGGUGCAAGCGUUAAUCGGAAUUACUGGGCGUAAAGCGUGCGCAGGCGGUUAUAUAAGACAGUUGUGAAAUCCCCGGGCUCAACCUGGGAACUGCAUCUGUGACUGUAUAGCUAGAGUACGGUAGAGGGGAUGGAAUUCCGCGUGUAGCAGUGAAAUGCGUAGAUAUGCGGAGGAACACCGAUGGCGAAGGCAGCCUCCUGGGCCAACACUGACGCUCAUGCACGAAAGCGUGGGGAGCAAACAGG
rnacentral:rRNA from 1 species